rnacentral:rRNA from 1 species
UGCAAGCGUUAUCCGGAAUGAUUGGGCGUAAAGCGUCCGCAGGUGGCUGUUCAAGUCUGCUGUCAAAGACCGGGGCUUAACUUCGGAAAGGCAGUGGAAACUGAACAGCUAGAGUAUGGUAGGGGCAGAGGGAAUUCCUGGUGUAGCGGUGAAAUGCGUAGAGAUCAGGAAGAACAUCGGUGGCGAAGGCGCUCUGCUGGACCAUAACUGACACUCAGGGACGAAAGCUAGGGGAGCGAAUGGG